rnacentral:misc_RNA from 1 species
GAUGAAGAACGUAGCGAAAUGCGAUAAGUAGUGUGAAUUGCAGACUUUAGUGAAUCAUCGAGUCUUUGAACGCACAUUGCGCCCCCUGGUAUUCCGGGGGGCAUGCCUGUCCGAGCGUCAUUGCCGCCCUCAAGCACGGCUUGUGUGUUGGGCCCCCGCCCCCCGGCUUCGGGGGGCGGGCCCGAAAGGCAGCGGCGGCACCGCGUCCGGUCCUCGAGCGUAUGGGGCUUCGUCACCCGCUCUGUAGGCCCGGCCGGCGCCCGCCGGCGACCCCAAUCAAUCUUUCCAGGUUGACCUCGGAUCAGGUAGGGAUACCCGCUGAACUUAAGCAUAUCAAUAAGCGGAGGA